GACCGCGUAGCUCAGUUGGCAGAGCAUUGGGCUAGUAUUCCAAAGGUCGUAGGUUCGAAUCCCACCGUGGUCA